rnacentral:rRNA from 1 species
GACGAACGCUGGCGGCGUGCUUAACACAUGCAAGUCGAACGGUGAAGCGCCUUCCUUUUUGGUGGGUGUGGAUGAGUGGCGAACGGGUGAGUAACACGUGAGUAACCUGCCCCCUUCUUCUGGAUAACCGCAUGAAAGUGUGGCUAAUACGGGAUAUUCUGGGUCUGUCGCAUGAUGGGUCUGGGAAAGAUAUUGUUUCGGUGGGGGAUGGGCUCGCGGCCUAUCAGCUUGUUGGUGGGGUGAUGGCCUACCAAGGCGGUGACGGGUAGCCGGCCUGAGAGGGUGGACGGUCACACUGGGACUGAGACACGGCCCAGACUCGUACGGGAGGCAGCAGUGGGGAAUAGUGCACGAUGGGCGCAAGCCUGAUGCAGCGACGCCGCGUGAGGGAUGGAGGCCUUCGGGUUGUGAACCUCUUUCGCCAGUGAAGCAGGCCUGCCUCGUUUGUGGGUGGGUUGACGGUAGCUGGAUAAGAAGCGCCGGCUAACUACGUG